UACGAAGGGUGCAAGCGUUACUCGGAAUUACUGGGCGUAAAGCGUGCGUAGGUGGUUUGUUAAGUCUGCUGUGAAAGCCCCGGGCUCAACCUGGGAAUGGCAGUGGAUACUGGCAAGCUAGAGUGCGGUAGAGGGGUGUGGAAUUCCCGGUGUAGCGGUGAAAUGCGUAGAGAUCGGGAGGAACACCAGUGGCGGAGGCGGCACCCUGGACCAGCACUGACACUGAGGCACGAAAGCGUGGGGAGCAAACAGG
rnacentral:rRNA from 1 species